AUUGAACGCUAGCGGCAUGCCUUACACAUGCAAGUCGAACGGCAGCGGGGGAGAAGCUUGCUUUUCCUGCCGGCGAGUGGCGAACGGGUGAGUAAUACAUCGGAACGUGCCCUGUAGUGGGGGAUAACUAGUCGAAAGAUUAGCUAAUACCGCAUACGACCUGAGGGUGAAAGUGGGGGACCGCAAGGCCUCAUGCUAUAGGAGCGGCCGAUGUCUGAUUAGCUAGUUGGUGGGGUAAAGGCCUACCAAGGCGACGAUCAGUAGCUGGUCUGAGAGGACGCUCAGCCACACGUGGACGGGGAAGCGGCCCAGACUCCUACGGGAGGCAGCAGUGGGGAAUUUUGGACAAUGGGCGAAAGCCUGAUCCAGCAAUGCCGCGUGUGUGAAGAAGGCCUUCGGGUUGUAAAGCACUUUUGUCCGGAAAGAAAUGGCUCUGGUUAAUACCUGGGGUCGAUGACGGUACCGGAAGAAUAAGGACCGGCUAACUACGUGCCAGCCGCCGCCGUAA
rnacentral:rRNA from 1 species